CGUGUCUUUAUAAAAAAAACAGUUACGAAAAUCAUCCACAGUCAAUCUCAUCUCUUCGCCUUCUUCCCUAAAAUAAAUUUCCUAUUUACCAUUGAUCUCUUCAUCUCCUUCCCUAUUCAAACAUAGAGAAAGCUCCGGUGACUUCAACGCCGCCGUUUAUAAUCACCAUAGUAGAAGAUCGCUGAACUAAAACCGGAUUCGGCCAAGGGUUACAGCCGUCGGUGAUGAUCAGUUACGGUUCAAUCAGUGCGAAUACGCCGUACGAGUGAGUGAGCUUGACAUCGAUUAAAUCAACAAAGGGUUUGAUUCGGGUAAGCAUAUGUGCAAGCUUUUGCAUGGAGGUCAUGCGCCACCCCACCCCUAAUAAGUUUGGAGAUGCUUUCGACGGGCCGGAGAUGUGGGCGAGCCUGACGUCGAACCUUCAACGCACCGCCUCUAAUCGAUCAGGUUCCAUCUCUCUUUUUUGAAUCUUCCCUCGCGACUUCCAAUCAACUCUAUGAUGCCUUCGUUGGAUCUAUUUGGUAGAUGUGUGGUUACAGAGUUGUAGAAACUGGCUAAAAAAUUAUCCCGAGGCUGCUCAGAUGGUUAGUACAGCCAUAAGCUUCCCUUCCCUUUUUGGAUGUCUUAUCUCGCUUUAAUUGAUUGAUACAGUAGGAGCUUAAUAGUGUAUAUAAAUUGAUUAUCAUCUUUUAAGUUGUAGGCAUGGAUUAUAUAUGCUGUGUAUAUGAAAUUCAUUUGUAUAAUUGAGAUGAUGAGCUUUUAUUUAAAGUGCAGGUUUUUCUUUUGAUGUGCCAGCCCUGGAUGUUGUGAAAUGUAUAUCGAAUUGAUUUGCUUUGAUUUGAGUUGUUAGAUGUGAGCAGUAUGAGGCACAUAUCCAGCAGAUGAGUGUUUGUCCGAGGUGGUAUUGGGAAUAAAAACAAAUACGAGCAUUUCUUUCUCUUUACUCGAUUUUAAGAAAUAGCUUCAGCAGGAGUCUUUCCUUCCGCUGGUGUAGUAUGGUCUAAGGAACAGUGUGCAGAUCGACCAACCUUCUGGAUUCCAACUUGAGACUGCCAAAACAGUCUGAUUGAAAGUGGUUAACAAUGAGUCUAUGACCGAUGCGGAGAAAACAAAAUAGUUAAAACAGACUAUGAAAAUCUUAGCUUUUAAUUUAGAAGAACGAACAGUUGAAGAUGAAUAAUGGUAAAUUCCCCAACUGGUCUAUACAAAAGAUGGACUCGGCAUGAAGGGUAGACUUCAAAUUAAGCGUAAUUGAGCAAAGUUAUUAGGUACGCAUCACCAACUUCGAGCUGAGUGCAUUAUUUAUCGUUGAGCAAUGAUUUUUGCAGAUCAUCAUCAUUCUUGAGAUUUAUGGUUUGAAGAACAUUGUUGAAAUUCUUUUUGGUUCUCUAUAUAAAGUAUCUACUGUCAAAAGAUAUACAGUUUCAUAUGGCUGCAGUUGAGAUAAAUUGCUAGCAUCAGUCAAAAAAUAUGUCUGUUGCAUUUAUAUGGAGAAUGCAGUAGUUUCAACAAGUCCAACAUGGUGAUGGAGUAAUAGACUUUUCCAUCAGUUUUUGGAGUUUAGUGGUAACGUGAAAAGCCAUUUAGGAUUUUUGAGAGUGUACAAUGGCUUCUCAUUCAGAAGGUAGAAGAGAAGAAACGUCUUCAAGUAACCUUCAAUCUGCCUGAAAAUUGCAUGAAUAGGCUAAUUAGUGAACGCGGUGAACACUAUCCAAGUGUUGGUGCAGUAAGUAUGCUCAACUAAAUGAGCAAUACUGGAUGAUGCACUUCAUAAUCCUUGCUAACUAGCAGAGGGAAGAGUCGGCUGCUUUCAGAGUAUGAGAGGUUUUGUGAAACAAGGUUUCUGCAGGUCCAUAUCAAAAGAAAGGAAUGUACAUUAGCUCAUUAACUCAGAUCAGGAAACUGCACUAUUCAUGUGGAUUCAGUUUCAGUCAGAAUAUUAGUGAUCAUUGACGAGCUCGACGCUACUAUUUUACAGUUGACCCAUCAGCUAUAUUAAUAUAAUGUCAUUAAUACUUGGAUUUAUUGAUUCUUUAAAUAUGAAAAGAGUCAACUUCAUGUACUUCUAUUUUUUGGAAGUGUCGUAAUGUCUAUAUUUAAUUUGUGUAAAUUAUUUUGACUUAGAAAUGUUAAAGUUUUAUAAUGAUAACUCCUUGACUUUAACUACUAUCUUUUAUUUUCUUUCCAUUUUCAAAUAUUAGUUUUCCUACUCUCACAAAUUACCCACUAAAUUUAUUAUAAAACAUGACUGUAAUUCUAAAAAUUCCCAAAAUUCAAUCCUUAGAAAUAAAAACUAGAUCAGGUCAUGUGAUUAGAAUACUUAAAACAAUUGAGGGGAAGACAAAAAAGUGAAAUAAUAAAGAUUAGCAUAACAAAAUAUAUCUAAAUUAAAAAAAAAUAAGACACAUAAAGUUUAUAAAAUGAAAUAAUUAAGUGGACAAUUUCAAUAAAUUAAAAAUAAUACAUAUAUUAUAGUUUAAUAAGCAAUAAAAAUAAUAAAAGUAUCAAAGUAAUAUCAGUAUAAAUAAAUAAAAUAAUAAAACCAAUGGAUAGUGUAGACAAAAUCUUAGUUUGAUUUAGUUUCUCUGGUAUACACCAAAUAGGCAAAAACUAACCAAUAAAAUCAUAAAAAUAAUAUUUUUAUUUAUAUUAAUAAAAGAUUAAAGUGAUUAUGUCAGAUUAAUAUCUUCGAUUUUUUUCCUAAAUCUAAAUAUCAACCAAUACAAACAAAUAAAAUUAUAUUAUAUCUAGAUAAAUAUGUGUUUAGUAAAAAACAAUUUUAAUAAGUAACAUGCAAAAAAACUAACCAUUUUUCAACAAUGCGUACACUUAAAAAAUCACAAAAUCAUGGAGAUCAAAUAAUCUAGAAAUCUGCAAAAAUAUAUUGACAAUAAUUUUAGUAAUCAAAAAAUAUCUGAAUAUAUCGGAUAUUGAGCAUUUUUCAUUGAUUUUCUCUCCACAAUUAAUAUAUUUGUCGGAUAUUGAGCAUUACAUCCAUAUAGAAUUUCUAAAAUCAUAUUCCAUCUGUUUUAUUUUAUAUAACAUUUAAGGUUAUAUCACACAUAUUUAAAAUAACUAAAUUGUAUGUUAUAUCUCUAAUUAAUAUAUUAUUUUUUUGUAUUUGAUAAUUAAUAAAGUAA